AGGGACUUAGGUUAACAGAAGACCAAGAGCCUUCAAAGCUCUAAGUGGGGGUGAGAAUCCCCCAGUCCUUG
rnacentral:tRNA from 1 species